GAGAGCGAGGCAGGCGAUGAGAAUCACUGAGUGAGGGAGAUGGAUAUCAGAAUCAGAUAUCACAAGGUUAUUCGCCUGCAGCAGGGACAAAGCAGCAAGGAAUGAGAGAAGUUAACAAAUGAUCCUGAUUGUCACCUUUGCACUCGAGGCUUCCUCAUCGACCGGCACCACUCUAACCCAGAUGGAUCAUAGUACUCACACCGCAAUUCAAAGGCAAUGCAGUACCUUAUUUGUUGACAGUUUACAUCACUGCAGACGCCGCCAGUCGAUCUCCAAGAUGGCACUCCAGCGUUUUCUGCGUAUUCGUUAAACAAUAAAGACGCGCAAGGAAACGAUGGAUGGGAAUGCAAGCCAGGUCCGCAUGGACAAUGGACAGG